CUGGCCUCCACAGUGUUUGACCCUGAUAUCCAGCAGCCUUGUAUGCGUCCUGUACGUGGUACGAGUUAUCCUGGACGAUGCCACUAACUAUGAAUGUGGCGGCCUGCCUGCCCCCUGCAAGACUGACAACAACACUGACACUACCACGGAGGAAUCCAACACCAACGUGAACUGGUACGUGUUGCUAUGGGUGGAGAGACCUCUGUGGCUGUGGAUCAUACAGGUCGUGCUAGCCUUUGUCACAUUCUUCAAGUGCUUGCUGAAAAUCUAUGUUGCCAAGGGCCGACGUAGCGACCAUUUCCUGAAAACCCAUUUCAUCAUGGAAGUCUUAACUUUUUUUCCAUAUAUU